rnacentral:rRNA from 1 species
UACGUAGGCAGCGAGCGUUGUUCGGAGUUACUGGGCGUAAAGAGUGCGUAGGCGGUUUUCUAAGUUUGGUGUGAAAUCUCCCGGCUUAACUGGGAGGGUGCGCCGAAGACUGGAAGGCUUGAGUAUGGGAGAGGUAAGCGGAAUUCCGGUGUAGCGGUGGAAAUGCGUAGAGUAUCCGGAAGGAACGAACCGGUGGCCGGUAGGGCGGGUCUGAGCCUGGGGGUCCAGUACGCUUGGG